CGAACGGGUGAGUAACACGUGAAGAACCUGUCCCGAAGACGAGGAUAAGCCGGGGAAACCUGGUCUAAUACUCGAUACCUCCAUUUGAUCGCAUGGUCGGAUGAAGAAACGAAUUUUGCUUCGGGAGGGCUUCGCGGCCUAUCAGCUUGUUGGUGGGGUAACGGCCCACCAAGGCGUCGACGGGUAGCUGGUCUGAGAGGACGAGCAGCCACACUGGGAUUGAGAACGGCCCAG
rnacentral:rRNA from 1 species